CCUACGGGCGGCAGCAGUGAGGAAUAUUGGUCAAUGGACGCAAGUCUGAACCAGCCAUGUCGCGUGCAGGAAGACGGCUCUAUGAGUUGUAAACUGCUUUUGUGCGGGGGUAAACGCAGACACGCGUAUCUGUUUGAAGUUAUCGCACGACUAAGGAUCGGCUAACUCCGUGCCAGCAGCCGCGGUAAUACGGAAGAUUCGAGCGUUAUCCGGAUUUAUUGGGUUUAAAGGGUGCGUAGGCGGUCGGAUAAGGUAGAUGUGAAAUCCCGAGGCUCAACUUCGGAACUGCCGCGGCUACUGGGCGGCUAGAGAGUAGUUGCGGUAGGCGGAAUGUAUGGUGUAGCGGUGAAAUGCUUAGAGAUCAUACAGAACACCGAUUGCGAAGGCAGCCUACC
rnacentral:rRNA from 1 species